GACGAACCGUGCAAACGUUGUUCGGAAUCACUGGGCUUAAAGGGCGCGUAGGCGGGCCAGCCAGUCUGUGGUGAAAGCCCCCGGCUUAACCGGGGAAGUGCCGUGGAUACUGCUGGCCUCGAGGAGGGUAGGGGCACCUGGAACGGUCGGUGGAGCGGUGAAAUGCGUUGAUAUCGACCGGAACUCCGGUGGCGAAGGCGAGGUGCUGGGCCCUAUCUGACGCUGAUGCGCGAAAGCCAGGGGAGCAAACGGG
rnacentral:rRNA from 1 species